GCUUCGUUGAGGCUCACAGUGGUAGAUUGCAGAUGAUCCACAUCCCGGUAUGGAAUACCGGAGCGUAGAUACCAAAAUACAAAUCUAUCCAUGCAAGCAUUUACCGCCAGAUUAUGGCGGUUUUUUUUUGCCCGUUUAUCGUACCGGCUGUGAAAAUUGUUUGCGAUAUUGCGCGG
rnacentral:sRNA from 1 species